GAAUUAAUUUUUUAUUAAGCUUCUAACUUAAUUUUUAGCAUAAAAUGUUAUUAAUUCU
rnacentral:tRNA from 1 species